AGACCUGGGAUCAGCUGGAUCGAAAGGAUUCACAGCUGUGUGCACAGGAAAAUAUGUAUCUGCAUUCACUAUAACCCCUCCUAAAGCCUUACAUAGAUCUGAUUAUAGCUGUAUAAAUAAGAGUCCUUAAAAAUCAUUGAGACAUACUGUAAGUGUUUUGCAAGAUGAUGAGAGUAGCAGCAAUGCCUCGAAUGUGAACAAAAGGGUAAAUAAAUUGGCUCAUAAUAUAGAAUUAUUUGAGUAAAAAGAUAAUGUUGUAGUACAAGGUUGCAUCUCUUACCUUGUUUUUCAUGCAUUCUGCAUAUAUUUCACUCAUUGCCAUCUCUUAAAAAACUGCGUGUAUGCCCAGUCUGAUUUGAGUUUAGUCUUUAUGCAGCGUGUUUAAAGAAUAUGAGAACAUCACGAGCUGACGACAAGCAUGAAAUCCAUGAAUGAUGGGCAUGUGUUUGUAACUACUGAUGACGACAUCGAAACAUCUGCAGACCCCUGUGUCACCCUGUGAGCUCUUAGAGGUCCACUGGCUCUCACUUCUGCAGGAGCACAAGACAGCAAAUGGAAGGAGAGACCUCCAGAACUCUAUCAUUUUGAUAAAAAACCCAGAAAAUCAGGCACACUUUCCCCCAAACCCAACAUAUCUAACCCCCCAGAAGCCCACAACACACAGACUGGAAACUCUUUGCUGCUGAGGUGACCUUAUCCCCUGGCUUCAAAUGGGAUGCGAUCACGAAAGGCUGAUAAAUCCGAGAUGCUGGAAACGACAAGGACCUGCCAGCUGACGAGCCUUCUAAUGUUAUGACGAGAAUGAUGAGGAUAAGACAAGAAACCAAAACAUUUUUGUAAUCUCUCCGGUCGGAUUAGGUUUCGAAGAGCGAUAGCGGGUUUGUGAAUGGCAGCUGACGUUGAUAAAAAACCAUAGUGUCAUUGCACAUUUUUGUCCGGGCCUCAUCAUCAUCAUCACUUGUUACAGUAAAAGCCACCACGUCUCAUCUGGGAACGCUGCCUGCUGUCGUAAGUCUAUAAACUAGAGGACAGUGAACACAAAGGGAGCGAGAUCUUUUGGACACAUGUUGAAGGAUCUGUGACAGCAGCAGGUGGCUUUGGAGCAAACUCACACAAUUCAACUAAUAGCCCCAGUAUGGCCCCAGAUCCACUGACAGGAUGGUGCCGGGGAAAAACAAGACAUUAGCAUUCCUUUUCAUAUUCAUUAUGAGCUUAACUGCAUCUCUAAUUUAUAAGCCGUUGUCUAAAGAAAAUAAUUGGAACAUUUUUUUGAUGAAUACUCGGUGGCAUUGUGAUAGAAAAGAAAAAAGAAGCAGUGGUUGAUAUUUACCAUAGCGCUGGAACAAGUGGGGGACGGAGCCGUGCAGCAGAAAUCUGACGGUGUGUAAUUAUCAGCAUGCAAAUAUCACCCAUCUGUGCUUUAAUGUGGACUUGAAUUUUCCUUUUUUUUCCCGCACCAAAGGGCAACAUUUCUAAAAAGCCAGUAAUUACUCAGCUGAGAACGUGGGCCCCAUUAAUUUCUGCUUUGGCACAAAUACUGAAAGUACAUCUUAUACCUUCUCAGAGCUGCAGCUGAGAUUUAUUAAAGAUCAGCAUGUGCUGUUCCACGAUGAGUAUUGUAUUAAACUGAGUGCUGUUGGUGGGUUUUCGAAAUAAUCAUUGCGUCUAUUGGUAAACAGUUUUAGAGCAUAUGGUGACCAUAACAGAGAUACUUGAGAGUUAGCUGAUGUAAGUGUGGGAGCUUUACUGCAGCACUAUAAACACUGUUGAACAGCAUGUUUCCUCUAAGUGAAUUCAUCAAGCACUCUAAGCCUCAAGCUCUUUUCACUUUGCCUGUUUAAUGUUUCCUGUAUUUCAGCAAUAAUAUUGUAAAAAGAGCGUCAAUAUGCAGACUGUUGCAUUAUAGUGACAUAAUAUUAGAGACAUAAGAUUUUACUGCAACGAGUCACUUCUCACAUACGCUUCACUUACACCUCUUAACCUUUGAAUUCGGGUGUUUUCAGUCCCAUUGAA